CAACUUUUAGCAACGGAUCUCUUGGCUCUCGCAUCGAUGAAGAACGCAGCGAAAUGCGAUAAGUAAUGUGAAUUGCAGAAUUCAGUGAAUCAUCGAAUCUUUGAACGCACCUUGCGCUCCUUGGUAUUCCGAGGAGCAUGCCUGUUUGAGUGUCAUGGA
rnacentral:rRNA from 2 species